rnacentral:rRNA from 1 species
GUAGGGAAUAUUGGGCAAUGGAUGCAAGUCUGACCCAGCCAUCCCGCGUGCCGGAAGAAGGCCCUCAGGGUUGUAAACGGCUUUUGACGGUGAAGAAUCGACAGGAUGCGUCCUGUUUUGACGGUAGCCGUUGAAUAAGCACCGGCUAACUCCGUACCAGCAGCCGCGGUAAUACGGAGGGUGCGAGCGUUGUCCGGAUUUAUUGGGUUUAAAGGGUGCGUAGGCUGGAAGGUCAGUCAGCGGUGAAAAGCUGUCGCUUAACGAUAGUCUUGCCGCAGAUACUUCCUUUCUUGGAUGAGGAGGAGGCCACUGGAACGGAUGGUGUAGCGGUGAAAUGCAUAGAUAUCAUCCAGAACACCGAUUGCGAAGGCAGGUGGCUGUACCUUAAUCGACGCUGAUGCACGAAAGCAUGGGGAGCAAACAGGAUUAGAAACCCGGGUAGUCC